UGCACGCUCCACUGCCCACCGCCGCACUCAGCGAGAGGGGCCGCAUUCAGGCCUGUCCGCUCGGAUUAGCAGGCGCUCACGACUCAAUGUGCCGCGAUAUUUCAUGUCCAGCGCAGCGGCUGGCCCCGGGCAGUCAUGCUGGGCACAAAGCUGAAACUGCGGCCAGAACUGGAUAUUGAAAAGGUCCAGCUGCACCUGCUGGUCCAGCUCCAGGCAGCCUGUCUGCUCUGUCCACCUGCCCGGUACCUACUCCACACCUUCUGGACCCGUGUACCUCACAAGAAGUCUUCAAGUCAGGUGCUGUUGGCCCUCCAACUCUGUUCUGUUCCUCUUUCUUUCUUUCUUUCUUUCUUUGUAAGUUGAUUUGGUUAUUUAAACCCUUUGCAUUUGGGGUUGAAUAUUCAAAUCAGGUUUUUAAUUUCUACCUCAAAUACAAAUCCUCUGUGAUUUGUAUUGGUAUUGCAUUAAAAUUAAAGAUGACUUUGGGGAGAAUUUAGUGUUCUGACCCAUGAAUGGGGCUCUCUCUCCACUUAUUGAGGUCUUUGAUUACCCUCAGAAAUUUUUAAUAAGGCCUCUACAUAUUUUGUCAAGUUUAUCUCUAAGUAUAUCUGAUGUUGGAAGUGAUGUUCUUAGAUUUCAAUUUCCAGUCAUUUGUUGCUAGUGUAUAGAAACGCAAUUGGUUUUUAUGUGUCAACCCUUGUAUUUUGUAGUUUUUGUAGGUAUUUUGAAUAUGCCAUAGGAUUUUCAGCGAGGAUAAUUAUGUCACCUACAAAUUAGGAGUUUUAUUUCGUCAGAUCAUUUGUUACCAAGUGGAAGGGAAGUGGGCAGAGUGGACAUCGCUGUCUUGUCCCAGUAUCAGGACCACGCUUCAGCCUUUCAUUGUUGAGUGCUGUGUUACCUGAAGCCUGGGCAUGUGCCCUUCAGCAAAUUACAGAAGUUCCCUUCUUGGACAGUUCAUUGAAAAUUUUGAUCAGGAAAGAAUGUUAAAUUUUGUAAAUGCUUUUUCUGGAGCUAUUAAGAUCUUGUGGGUUGUCCAUUUUGGACUAUUAGUGGUGAACUGUACUACCUAACAUUUCUAUUUUUUUUUUUUUGGUACCAGGUAUCAAACUCCAGACCUUGGGCUUGUGAGGCAGGUGGUGGAACCACUGAGCUAAAUCCUGGGCCCUAACAUUUCUAAUUUUUUUUGUUUUGUUUUUUUGGUACGAGGGAUUGAAUUCAGGACCUUGCGCUUGCAAGGCAGGCUCCGGAACCACUGAGUUAAAUCCCUGGCCCAACAUUUCUAAUGUUAAACCAGCCAUCGUUCCUGGGAUAAACCCAUCAUGGUUUAGUAUCUUUUGGAUGCCUUUUUUUGGGCUCAGUUUGCCUGUUUUUGUUAAGAAUUUCUGCAUCUAUCCAAGUAUAGUGGUGCACAGGAAGAUCACAAGUUUGAGGCCAGCCUGAGCAACUUAACCAUCCCAUGUCUCAAAGUUUAAAACUAAAAAAAAAACAGUUCUGGGCCGGGGAUUUAGCUCAGUGGUUCCACUGCCUGCCUUGCAACCGCAAGGACCCAAGUUCAAUCCCUGGUACCAAAAGAAUAAAUAAAUAAAUUUUUAAAAAUAAAAAGGUCCUGGGAUAUAGCUUAGUGGUAGAGUGCCCCUGGGUUCAAUCCCAGUAGCAGAGGAGGGCAAUUUCUGCACGUGUGUGACAGGUUUGUCAUUGUCUUUUCUCAUAAUGCUUGUUUGUUUUGGGCAUCAGAAUAAUGCUUGCUUCAUAAAAUGAGUUUGGAAUUAUUCCUUCCUUCUCAGUUUUCUGAAAGAGAUUGUGUGGAACUGGUGUUAUUUUAAUUACAGAUUCAAUUCCUUGAAUGUGGAGCUAUCCAGGGUCCCCCUUUCUUUUUGAUGAGCAAUAGAGGUUUGUAUUUCACAGAGCUCAUCCAUUUACUCUAAGUUCGCACACUUCCUGGCUUAGAGUUGCUCCUGAUAGUCCCUGAUUGCCCUUCUGCGCUGGACUCUGCGAUGCCCCUUCUUCCACUCCCAGUGUCACUGAUCUGUGACUUUCACUGUGGUGACCCCAUGAUCCAUGUGGCUCCUCGGUCGGUCUCUAUGGCCCAGUUUUCUCCGUGUUGUGGUCCCUACCCUUCCUCCCUGUGUGCUGAGGACCCUGCCCUGGUGACAGGCACUGUGGCUCUGACCUGCAGGGAGCUGGUUUUCCCUGGACUCUGGGCCGUGUCCUGUGUGCAGGUUUCCUGGGAGCAGCGAGCCUUGCGCUUCCUUUCAGCCUUGCCCAGUGGGACCAGGGCAGCGUGGAAUCCGGGGGCAGCAGCAUGCUGCAUCAGCGGCACGGGCCUCGUCUGGCAAUCGACGCCCUGCAAAGGAGGGUGUUUUCAAGCUCGAGCUUUGGGAGCAGGGGUUCAUGUCUGGUGUGAGGCCUGGUAACAUUUCUCUCCCACCUUGGGGGGUGACUUCCUCGGCGCUGGGCGGCUCCCCAUGCCCCAUGCUGGCUGAGGUCCAGGUAGGUUCUCAGGGGCCCUUGCUGGGUGCGUGUUCGGGCUCCGUGCUGCUUACCACACACCGGGCAUGGGGCUUCCAUGCCCUUUCCCAGCCUGGUCACUGCCUCAAGUGGCAGUGCCCAGUCCUUAGGAAUUCCUGGGGGAGAGUGAGCUUGGGCCUGCUACUCUAGAGCAUCACCUUUCUACUAAAGCCAUCCACACGUAUUCAUGUCCGGGUGAUGGGGUUCGCUGUGAUAGUCCCACACAUGCACACGCUGUCCUUUGAUCAUGUUUGUCCACCUCAGGAAGAGGCAUAUUUAAUGACUUCGAGAACAAGAAUGGAGCAGCUGUUGGCACCACUUCCACAGCACACCGGGAUCCCAGUCGGGCAAGAAGUCCAAAGUAUGAGAGUUGGUACCGUGAAAAAAGGCUGUUUCCAAACAUGAGUUUGUACGUAGGAAACACCUACAGGAAGCUGUUGGAAUUAGCAGGAUGUGAAAAUCGCUCGGGAUAAGGGAAGAGAUUGGCCGGUCUGACUCAGACCAAUAACUUCUGUGCAAGCAAGGACAUCUGUGAGGCCCAGAAGCACUGUUUGCUGCACACCACUUACAGCUCUGCACUGGAGCAGAAAGCACUCACACGAGACCCCCAAAGCAAACACACAGCAGAAGACGAGCCAGUCUGCAUGUGAGCAGGACCUGGGCCACACUCCCCAGAGCACCUGAACAACUGCUCAGCACAACCCGCCAGGGAGAUGCAAACUAAACCAUGAAGAAAGAUCCCCGACCCAUCAGCCAGCACGCCGGGCUGGCACAGUGGGCGUGGCUCAGACCCAGAGCAGCACAAAGGUACCCUGCCCGAGCAGGGAUCGAACUCAGGACCUUGUGCUUUCAAGGAAGGCGGCAGAACCACUGAGCUAAAUCCCCAGCCCUCAGAAAAGCAUAUCUCAAGGAAACCGGGCCAACCACGAGGAGAGGCAACUGGUGACCUAAGGAACGAACUGUUCUGAGCACAGCUUUGAACCUGUCCUGCGUCCUCCCAGCCACACAGUCUCCUCACUGCAUGCAUUGCCCCAUGGCCUGUGGCACCGUGGCGGCCCGUGUGGUUCCUCUGACACAGCAAGACAGGUUCCCUGGCAGCAUCAACAAGAUGUUCUGCCUGCUGUCUGCAUUUCUGCCUCGAACCUGGAGGGCCCGUUUCUCCUGAGCUCCGCUUCUUCUAGAUGUGGCAUGCGUCUGGAAGCGGCCAGGCCUGAGUCAUAUCCAGACCUUGGCCGUGGACAGUCAGGAGAGAUGUUUUACUUUAAAACAUAACGUGUACCAGAAGUUCACAGAAGCUUUCUCUUCAGGCCUGCGCUUUUUUUGCUUCAUCUUCUUAAUUUUAAUCUGUGUUUCCUUUUUCUCAGUUAAAACGCCUGAUACAUCA
ensembl:lncRNA